GAGCAAUCAAAUAUACAGACAUGGCACUUCUAAUUUCAUAUGGCCUCCUCUUCAUAUUUUUCAUCUCAAGUUUCAUUGCUACAACGCCCGCAUGCCGAAACAUUGAUCAACACUCUCUUCGGUCUUCAUUUGAUAAUGAUUCUUCUAGUUUAAACUGGUCUUCCAACGAUUGUUGCAGAUGGGAGGGCAUCACUUGUGAUAUGUUUGGUAGGGUAACUCAUUUGUUGUUGCCCUCCAAAGGUAUCAAAGGUUGCAUUUCUCGCUCUCUUGGAAACCUCACACAUCUUUCACAUCUCAACCUCUCCCACAAUAUGCUUUCCGGUCCUCUUGAGGCUCGAAUUUUUUUGUCUUUGACUCACCUUCAGAUCCUUGAUUUGAGCGAAAACCAUUUAUCCGGAACACUACCAUCAUCUCUAUCAUCAAGUUAUAUCCAGAUGGUGGAUUUAUCCAGCAAUCAGUUUAACGGAACAAUUCCAUCUUCAUUCCUCCAGCAUGCCUGGAAUUUGAGCAGUUUGAAUGUCAGCAAUAAUCAUUUUACUGGCCAAAUACCAUCCUCUAUCUGUCUUCUUUCCUCUUCGCUUAGAGUCUUGGAUUUCUCCCACAAUAAUUUCAGUGGCUCAAUUCCUCUAGGACUAGGAAACUGUUCCCAAUUGGAGGUCUUUCAUGCUCGUGACAACACUCUCUCAGGGUCCCUUCCUGCUGAUAUCUACAAUGCUCAGGCCCUUCAAGAAAUUUCAUUAUCUAUUAAUAGCCUUUUCGGACCCAUUGGUGAGAAUGUUGGGAAGCUCUCCAAAUUAAAGCUCAUGCACCUUCAUUACAACAAUCUAGAAGGUCCUCUGCCCCCAUCUUUGAUGAAUUGCACAAACCUUGUUGAAAUAAAUCUGGGAUUCAACCGUUUUAGUGGGAAUAUCUCUGCGCACGAUUUCUCUAAACUUACUCAACUUAGUAAGCUAGAUUUUAUAAAUAAUGCACUCACUGGUAUCUUGCCAAUAAGCCUUUACUCAUGCAAGUCCCUCAAAGCACUUCGACUGGCUUCAAAUGAUUUCGAGGGACAAAUCCAACCUGAGAUUCUUCAAUUGAAAAACUUGACCUUCCUAUCACUUUCUCAUAAUAGACUCACCAAUGUCACGGGGGCAAUGAAGAUAUUUACACGUUUCAAAAGUCUCAGGGUGCUCCUUCUUUCAGAAAAUUUUCGAGGUGAAGAAAUGCCAGAUGGAGAUAUAACUAUCGAUUUCAAGUUACAAGAUUUGUGUGUUUUCAGUUUAAGUACAUGUCAUAUGACAGGUCAAAUACCUGCAUGGAUUUCAAGGUUCAGGAAACUGGAAUCCCUGAAUUUGUCUUUUAACAGACUCACUGGCACAAUACCUGGUUGGUUGGGGACUCUUCCGAGUCUUUUCUAUUUGUUGUUGAAUGACAACUUGAUUUCGGGUGAAUUUCCAAGGGAGCUUUGCGGACUACAAGCAUUAGUAUUGCAAAAGCAUGCGAAUCAAACAGGCCAUUGUUCUAUUGAGUUGCCCGUCUACUUCAAACGCGGUAAUAAUGCAACUGUGCUGUCUUCACAGUUCAAGUAUUUGGCCAACAUGCCAAGUGUAAUCUCCCUCAGGAACAACAGUUUAAGUGGCAGCAUACCCUUUGAGAUUGGCCAAUUGCAAUAUCUUCAACAACUGGAUCUAAGCAUCAACAACUUCUCUGGCAACAUUCCAGACCAAAUAUCCAACCUCACAGAGUUGGAGAGAUUAGAACUCAACAACAACCAUCUAUCAGGUGAAAUCCCAUCAUCACUAUCAAGUCUCCAUUUCUUGUCUACGUUUACUGUUGCGUACAAUAAUCUUGAAGGACGAAUACCAGCCGGCACUCAGCUCCAAGGUUUCGAUGCCUCUGCAUUCGAAGGGAAUCCAAAACUUUGCGGCACCCCACUUCCAAACCAGUGCUUGUCAAGUAAUGGCAAUGAUGCAGAUGAGAAUGAGAACAACCAGGAUUUGGACGACGAUGAGGAUCAAAGUCUAUGGGUUGGGUUAUCCGUUUCGCUUGGUUUCGUUGUAGGGUUCUUGGGAUUCUGUUGCCCUUUGCUUCUCAAAAGGACGUGGAGAUAUGUAUAUUUCCAAUUCCUAGACAAUGUUCAAUUCAAGCUCUAUAUGAUGUGGAGAAGGCUUGGGAGAAGGAAACUGGAUGGUGGAGCUGAGAGUACAAAUUGUUCAGAAUAUGCAAGCAAAGGUGAAUCUUUCAUGGUACCUGACAACUUCCAAACCACCUCUCUUUUUAGUGUUCAGUUAAAGCUCCGUGCCCAGAAGACGAAUAAAUACUUUUGUGUACGAAUUGAGACAGAAAUUCUCUGGUGCAAGAUAACUAUUAAGGAGUAAGUUAUAAAUCACAUGUUUAACCAUAAAAAUAUUUACUUUUCUUCUAAUUACUACCUCAAUCAGCGCUCUCUCUCUCUCUCUCUCUUUAAGAAAGAAAGCAAAGCAAAACCAUCCACACAUCGCACCCUUCUUUGUAAUCGUCUACUCUCUCUCUCUCCGCCGCGGCCACUGCCAGCCGUGCCUCCUGUCACGAGUUCCUCCCAUCUAACUAUCUAUCCUCUCCAAACCCCCACCGAUUUAAUCCCGAGGUACACACUUUUGGUUUUUCAUUUUAUUUUUAAUUUUUAUUUGUUUGAUCGGUACAGGGUUUUGUAUUUAUUGUAUUACUAGGAGAAAUAACCUCAAAGAGAUGAUAUUUUGUAUUUGAUUUCUGAGUAUUAUCUUAUGAAUUUUAUGAAUUACAGCUUCUGCAGUAUUUUCCAAGUAGGUGGAAACAGGCACAAGGGAAAACUUUGUCUACAUAUCCAUAUAUUUUAAGGAAAACUAAUGAAAAUAACUUGAAAACUUUAAGUUUUAAGGGUAAAGUAAAUAGCAUCAAGAUUGACUUUUUAGUAUAAAAAUGUGAUUUUUCAUUAAAAUGUACAGUACUAGAAGUUUUUUAGUAAAGUUUCCUAUAUUUUGUUUCCUUCGGUUAUACUUGCAUUUUACAGUGAGGUAAAGGUAAACCCUUGUUGGCCUUGAUUGUGAAUUUCGAUGUUAUAUAUAGUUUCAUAACAAUACUCUGUUGUGUACUUUGUGUCAACAGAUACAUCCUACUGAGUGUCAGAUUUCACUCACAGACCCGCCUCUUAAUCCUUCCAAGAACCGUGAAAAAAUGGUUGAGACCAGGUUUUAGAAAUACAAUUUUGUUGGGGUCUUCAUUCAAAUUCAAGCUGUAGUAACGUUGUAUGCUAAAGGUGCUUAUCGAGAUGAUAAAGGGUUAAAUGCUUAUGAUGUUGUUUUUACCCUUCCAACUUCGUUUGUUUCUCCCUUUUUUUUUCCCUUCGUGUUAUUUGUACAAACAAGUAUGUCUUUUCUUAUUGUUGCACUUUCAAAUUCUUAGAAAACACUGAUGUGGAGAUUCUACAUAUGUUAUGUAAUUAGAUUCUACAUAUUUUAUGUAAUUAGAUUCUACAUAUCUACACACAAUACUUACAACACAUGGUUAUAGUAUAGUGCAGAAUCUGGGCCUGAAAAGUGAUGGCAUAGGUGUUUUGGCUGGAUUGAUGACUAUAAUCAAGGUAUAGUUAAGCUCUUAUUGUGACUGGUAAAUUUUGAAUGACUGCCGGUGACUUUUCCGGCGACCCAACUCUGCGUGUGGCCGUCCGGUGGCGGCGGCGCAUGAGGGUACCCGAGGUCCCCCCUUAUAUUUUUUGACGUCCUAAAUCCGUUUAUGAUGUCCGUUUCCUGAAAUUCAACCGUUUUAGUAUAGUUUUAUUAAUUGGUACCUUUAUUUGCUUAUGUGCGUUUGUUAGUGGCGUUUCCAUCCACCCUUAAUUGCACGGCUCUUCGCCAACGGUGUAAGGUGGGUGGAACUCUUCUAAAAUGCAUGAUUUUACUAUUAGAAAUGCAUACAUGAAAAACAUGAUUUUAUGACUAUUUUUUAUGAAACGUUUUUGAGUAAAUUUGUUUCACGCUUUAUGAAUUAUCAUGCUUUAUCGAUUUUAUGCUCUGUGGUAUACAUGAUUGAUGACUAUAUACCUACUUAGGAACGUGGUUUUACGAUAUGGCGUUUUAGUUAGUGAGCUCCGAUUUGAGAUAUAUUUUGGAAAGAUUAUGUUUAUGAUUUUUGUGCUUACUUAAUGGAUAUUCAUAUUUAUAUAUUGCCUUCGGGCGGGAGAUGUAGUGUUUAUCGGCGGAAGAUUUAUAUAUUGUCUUCGGGUGGGCGAUGUAGUGCCUUCGGACGAUUAUGAUGCCACUAAGCACACUAUAUACGAUAUAUGUUUUAUGAAGGUUUUAUGGCAUGCUAGGGUUUUCGGAAAAACCUAUUACUUAUUAUGCUAUAUGAGUUUUCUAAACCUGGGGGUUAGUACGUUAAAGAUUAACUGUUUUAGUAUUACUUAUAUAUCAACUUGGCUCACUCAUGUUUUGUUUUGCGCCCUCUCAUGACUUAGAAUCGAGGCGUACAAUCUCGGUAUUAAGGUACUCUCACAUCAGCAUCUUCGAGUCCUCUAGUAUGGCUUCGUCAUCUUCGGGUGUCGGCCAGCACGUGCCUACCCUAGUGUUUGGAGGAUAUCGGGGUCGGGCGUGUCACCUACUAACCAUUCAAGUCUAACAGUCAAAAUUCAACAAUAGGGCUCAAAAAGAAACAUACAGAAAGGUACAUGAACAAAAGGCAAGAAGCAAAAUACAGCAACAACAAAGUCUUAUUACAAUACAUGGAAACAGUAGUAUGAAUCCUACAAUGUUGCUGUGCUCGGUUUUGUGCCAAGGCAUCCGUUAACUCCAAGUACUCCGUGUCUUUUCUUAAAGUCAGCUUUCUAAGUACUUCAUGAGCAUGAAAAUAAAGACUUCAAGUUCGGGUUGCUGGAAGAAUUUUCCUCUGCAUCCGAGAUUAGAGCUUGAAUCUCGUACGUCUUCACUUUAACCUCCAUCGUAGCUGGAAAAUGUGAAAAGUGAAUGCAAAGAAGAGGACGGAUACAGCUGGAAACUAGAUGCUGUCAAACUUGUUCUUAGUGCGACAUAAGUGGGGAAAAGAUGGAAAACAGACCUCCAUGAUCAAACAAAAACCACGAGUCUUCAAGUGAUAGAGACUAGUGAAAGUGCAAAAACAGGGGCCGUUUUUCAAUGUGAGGAUUGUUUCAGAAAAGAGGGGCCGUUUGAUAGCCACUCGUUUUCAAUUUUCAAAACAUGGAAUCUUUGUUUGGUAGUUACUUUUAACUUUCAAUUUUCAAAAGAUGAAAAUUGAAAGUAAAAACUCAAGGCAAAAUCUUAAAAACUCAAGGAAGUUUUCAGUUUUCA